AUCAGUAAGCUUUUUAGGUCUGACACAAAAAGAAACCUCACUGUUACUAUGGAAACCACUAUAGAAUAGAGCCGCUAUCAGCCAAUUAGGGAGUGAAAGAACACCUUUAUUAUUAUUUAAAAAAAACCUUGAAUAAUACUCCUCAUGAAGAGCAAAUUAACCAACGGCCAAAGUGCAAACCAGUAUUUGUUCGGAAGUUGCUUUGAAAGUUUUGCGUAGAGAAUUUGGGAAGGAUUUGGCUCUUAAGCAAACAGGAGACUGACUUCCUCAGAGCAGGGUUCCGUGGCUUUGAUUUGACAUCCAUAAAUGGACCUGUUCAAUUAAUGUAGUGCUCUACUAUAGACCAGAGCCCUAUUCCCUAUAUAGUGCACUACUUUAGACCAGAGCCCUAUUCCCUAUAUAGUGCACUACUGUAGACCAGAGCCCUAUUCCCUAUAUAGUGCACUACUGUAGACCAGAGCCCCUAUUCCCUAUAUAGUGCACUACUGUAGACCAGAGCCCUAUUCCCUAUAUAGUGCACUACUUUAGACCAGAGCCCCUAUUCCCCUAUAUAGUGCACUACUAUAGAUCAGAACCCUAUUCCCUAUAUAGUGCACUACUAUAGACCAGAGCCCUAUUCCCUAUAUAGUGCACUACUGUAGACCAGAGCCCUAUUCCCUAUAUAGUGCACUACUUUAGACCAGAGCCCCUAUUCCCCUAUAUAGUGCACUACUUUAGACCAGAGCCCCUAUUCCCCUAUAUAGUGCACUACUUUAGACCAGAGCCCCUAUUCCCCUAUAUAGUGCACUACUUUAGACCAGAGCCCCUAUUCCCCUAUAUAGUGCACUACUUUAGACCAGAGCCCCUAUUCCCCUAUAUAGUGCAGUUUGGCAGAACACUUCUUGAAGAAUUCGAUUGGGUAGUCAUCUGGGCCAGGGUUUUCCCACUGUGCAUUGCUGUGAUUGAAUUGAAAAUCGUCUAUAACUGCAAAGAUUGACCACUUUCCUCUGUCCUCUCUGUACUAAUGAUAGCAGUUUGCGAAUUGUACAACAAAAAAGUAUUCAUGAUUGAAUUGUCUUCAGGUGAUUCUGGUGUGUAAAAUGUUUUGCAAGUAUUAUUCAUUUAAAUGGGAUGAAAUGCUAAAACACACGAGGCAGUGUACAUUUUGAGGAAAUGAUUUAGCUUCUAAAAACAAUUUUGUGUGUUUCCCACAGUGUAGAUGGAGAGAUCGAAUCUGUUUAAUUUAUCUCAAUAAAGAUGUCUAUUGGAUAAAACGGUGCAUAAGGAAUUGUUCGAAAGUAACAAGUCUCCACGGAGCACGAUUCAACGAGAGGUGGAGUGACGGAGGAGAAUGAUCACUAACAACAAGGGAAGUAUUCUAGUUACUCAAUAGAAUGAGAGGUGGGAGUGACAGAGGAGAAUGAUCACUAACAACAAGGGAAGUAUUCUAGUUACUCAAUAGAAUGAGAGGUGGGAGUGACAGAGGAGAAUGAUCACUAACAACAAGGGAAGUAUUCUAGUUACUCAAUAGAAUGAGAGGUGGGAGUGACAGAGGAGAAUGAUCACUAACAACAAGGGAAGUAUUCUAGUUACUCAAUAGAAUGAGAGGUGGGAGUGACAGAGGAGAAUGAUCACUAACAACAAUGGAAGUAUUCUAGUUACUAGUUACUCAAUAGAAUGAGAGGUGGGAGUGACGGAGGAGAAUGAUCACUAACAACAAGGGAAGUAUUCUAGUUACUAGUUACUCAAUAGAAUGAGAGGUGGGAGUGACGGAGGAGAAUGAUCACUAACAACAAGGGAAGUAUUCUAGUUACUCAAUAGAAUGAGAGGUGGAGUGACAGAGGAGAAUGAUCACUAACAACAAGGGAAGUAUUCUAGUUACUCAAUAGAAUGAGAGGUGGAGUGACAGAGGAGAAUGAUCACUAACAACAAGGGAAGUAUUCUAGUUACUCAAUAGAAUGAGAGGUGGGAGUGACGGAGGAGAAUGAUCACUAACAACAAGGGAAGUAUUCUAGUUACUAGUUACUCAAUAGAAUGAGAGGUGGGAGUGACGGAGGAGAAUGAUCACUAACAACAAGGGAAGUAUUCUAGUUACUAGUUACUCAAUAGAAUGAGAGGUGGGAGUGACGGAGGAGAAUGAUCACUAACAACAAGGGAAGUAUUCUAGUUACUCAAUAGAAUGAGAGGUGGGAGUGACAGAGGAGAAUGAUCACUAACAACAAGGGAAGUAUUCUAGUUACUCAAUAGAAUGAGAGGUGGGAGUGACGGAGGAGAAUGAUCACUAACAACAAGGGAAGUAUUCUAGUUACUCAAUAGAAUGAGAGGUGGGAGUGACGGAGGAGAAUGAUCACUAACAACAAGGGAAGUAUUCUAGUUACUCAAUAGAAUGAGAGGUGGGAGUGACGGAGGAGAAUGAUCACUAACAACAAGGGAAGUAUUCUAGUUACUAGUUACUCAAUAGAAUGAGAGGUGGGAGUGACAGAGGAGAAUGAUCACUAACAACAAGGGAAGUAUUCUAGUUACUCAAUAGAAUGAGAGGUGGGAGUGACGGAGGAGAAUGAUCACUAACAACAAGGGAAGUAUUCUAGUUACUCAAUAGAAUGAGAGGUGGGAGUGACAGAGGAGAAUGAUCACUAACAACAAGGGAAGUAUUCUAGUUACUCAAUAGAAUGAGAGGUGGGAGUGACAGAGGAGAAUGAUCACUAACAACAAGGGAAGUAUUCUAGUUACUCAAUAGAAUGAGAGGUGGGAGUGACAGAGGAGAAUGAUCACUAACAACAAGGGAAGUAUUCUAGUUACUCAAUAGAAUGAGAGGUGGGAGUGACAGAGGAGAAUGAUCACUAACAACAAUAGAAUAUUCUAGUUACUCAAUAGCGGGAAGAAGGGCUUUAUCUACGAAGAAGUAGUCUAUUCUAGAAUAGGAGUGGUGCACAUGUGAACAUAAAGAAAAGCAUUUGUUACCGGGGAUAAAGGAACUUCCAUGGCGCUACACAUCCUGCCGGGCUCAUAAUGCAGAUUCAACUCUGGAGAUUUCUGAGGGAGAUAAAUGAUCUGGGGUUGGAACGACCCACACCAAGUCAAGUCGCCUCCAAAAAAUUAAAUGACGUGAGUUGAGAUAGGGCUGUAAAGAAAUACGUUUGUUAAUAAACUCAACAUCAUCCCAAUUGGGAGCGUAAACACGUAGUAGCAAAACAGAGUUGCUCUAUAGAGAACCAGAUACCCAAACCAAACGGCCUUGUGGGUCAGAGAUGGUCAGCAGUUGGAAUAGAGAGGAAAACCCUGCAUAAGUCCACCAAUCACAUCCUGUGACAAAUUAAAAAGCACUGAAAAGUUAACCGAAAUACUUUUGAAGAAAAGUAUUUAAUAUUGAAAUUAAUAAUGAAGGCAAAAAACGUCCCCGUCCCACCCCCACCCGUCUCAUCUCCUUCCACCCCCACCCGUCUCAUCU